AGGAAAAGAAAUCGAAGAGAUUCCGUAAGUAGUGGCGAGCGAAAGCGGAUUAGCCCAAAAGUCUUUUUAUAUUUAGAAGAAUGUUCUGGAAAGAACAGCCAUAGACGGUGAUAGCCCGGUAUUCGAAAGGUAUAUUAAGAUGAUAAAUGAGUAGGGCGGGACACGUGAAAUCCUGUCUGAAUAUGGGGGGACCAUCCUCCAAGGCUAAAUACUCCUGAAAGACCGAUAGUGAAC
rnacentral:rRNA from 1 species